rnacentral:rRNA from 1 species
UACGUAGGUGACAAGCGUUGUCCGGAUUUACUGGGCGUAAAGAGCGCGCAGGCGGUCGAUCAAGUCGAGUGUGAAAGCCCCCGGCUCAACUGGGGAGGUCAUUCGAAACUGGUCGACUCGAAGGCAGGAGAGGGUAGUGGAAUUCCCGGUGUAGUGGUGAAAUGCGUAGAUAUCGGGAGGAACACCAGUGGCGAAGGCGACUACCUGGCCUGUUCUGACGCUGAGGCGCGAAAGCUAGGGGAGCAACGGGG